AGUAAACCAGAACGCUUAUCCAAACACUGACUGACCCGUCUCGCGGGGCGGACCAGAGAAUCGAGUACAUGUACACACACACUCUGAUUGGGGAGCAAAGUUGGAGCUCUGUGAAUGGCGGUUUCAUCGUCUCCUCAGCCUUCAUUUCUCUCUUCUCUCCGGCUCAACAACACAACCACUGCCAACCUAAGUUGUUCGUCUUCCCCCAAUCUUUCCUUCAUUGUUGACGUUCCAACCAAAACCACCAAUCCACGACGACGACCACAAUCGAUUGUCGUCUACUCUUCCAAAUCGAAUAAUGGACUCUCGAGUGAUCAGAACAGAGAGUUUCUCGAACGAUACGGUCUUAAUCCCGACGACUUCCUAUCAAAACCUUCUCCUAAGACAAGGAGAAAGGAACUGCGAAAGACAGGGAGGGGAAAGCAGGUCCCACCGGAGGAACCUAAGCCGCCAAGGGAGACUCAUAAAUUGCUUCAGGUGCUUGGAGGAACAGCUAAAAGGAAGAAAUUGCUCUCACCAAAGGGCAUGGACGUACGCCCAAUGAUGGAAGUUGUAAAAGGUGCAGCCUUUGACAUUUUGCAGGUGGCCGGUGGUUGUCCUGUAUCUUUAAGGCCUGGUCGUUGGUUAGACUUGUAUAGCGGCACAGGAUCUGUUGGUAUUGAGGCUCUCAGCCGGGGAUGUUCUGAGGUGCAUUUCGUCGAGAUGGAUCCUUGGGUUGUUUCAGAUGUUCUACGACCAAAUUUAGAUUGGACUAGUUUUCUUGAUGUUUCUGUCAUACAUACAGCCCAUGUCGAAAGGUUCUUAGAACAGGCUGAGCGGUUUGUAGAUGGGCCAUUUGAUUAUAUUAGCGUGACACCUCCGUAUACUGAAGUGGAUUAUGGGGUACUGAUGGAUCAAGUUUCAAAAUCAUCUGUAGUUGGAGAGGAUACCUUUAUAGUAGUAGAGUAUCCUUUAAGAACAGACAUGCUGGAUUCAUGUGGAUGCCUCAUAAAGAUUUCUGACCGACGGUUUGGCCGGACACAUUUAGCAAUAUAUGGACCCAAGUGGGCACAGAAAAAGAGAAAGUCGGAGAAGUCUAUUUGGGCAUUAGCAGAAAAAGUUUGAUUGGUAAUGGAAGUGUGAAAUUUUUGAGGUUGAGUUCUGCAGUGGAUGUUUGGCAUGUCUUUGAUGCUUUAUAUGAGAUGUAAUGUUCACUGCUGUGAUGGAGCUACACUGGCUUCACCAGCUCUUCAUGCGUAUCAUGGCUGCUGAAUAAGUGCAAGAAUAUUGAUCUAGCCUGAAGCACAGUCAGAUUGAUCUUGUUAAACUCACCGACAAGACUUGCCUGAUUUUCAGUAACAAAAGAGAAAUGUUUACAUAGCUAUGCACAUUAUUUGAUAUGCCAAGAUAAGCCUUUGACCUACAUGCCAUGGAUGGUUGUCUUGGAUUGUUGAUUCUGCUAAGGUGCUCUCCCAGCCCUUUUUUCAAUUUUUUUUUUUUUUUUUUGGAUAGGAAAAUUGAAGAGUAUUUGAUUGGGAAGCAAUGCAGCAUUUCACUACGUAGUCAAAAUUAUGCUUGUAUGAGAAAAACCUAGGGUUUUUUAGUUUUUUACAUGAUUUGAACAUGGCGGCAUGGAGUUGAUGGUCUUGGUUAGGAAUGGCAGGGGAGAUGUGUUUGGUCUUUGGUGUAUAUUAUUUAAAUUUGAAUAUUUAAAUGCUAGUGAUAUAUGGAUAGAUAUAAGGAUUUUAAAUAUUAAAAAAAAAAGAAA